ensembl:lncRNA
AUGAACUUCUUGGAGCUAAUUAAUUAUGAUACUAACGUUUCUAAAAGCGUUAUACCAGAUACUACUUCCAUCUUCGUGACCUUGUAUAUACGUAUGGCCUGGGUUCACCUAUUUACCUUCUUGACACACAAAGAGCAUGGGAUCUGCAGAGACAGCAUCUUUUUCUGUCACGCAGGCUGGAGUGCAGUAAGCGCAAUCACCUCUCACUGCAGCCUUGAACUCCUGGGCUCAAGUGAUUCUCUUGUCUCAGUCUCCCAAGUAGCUGGGUCUACAGACAUGUGCCACCAUACCCGGCCACUUUCAUUUUCAUUUUUUGUAGAGAUGGAGUCUUACUAUGUUGCCUAGGCUGGUCUAGAACUCCUGGCCUCACACAAUGCUUCCGCCUCAGCUUCUGAAAGCACUGGGAUUGUGGGCAUGAAUGACCGUGCCCAAAUUGCUAGUGACUUUUAUCAAAAGAAAGAGCAAUAUGAAAUCUAAUUGGAAUUGGAGUGGCCAUUGGAUACCAAGAAACUUCUAAUGAAGUGGACUCAGAAGGAUCAAAUAGGAGAAGAAAAUGAAAAAAAAAAAGGCACAAAGAGUUUACAAACAUCAUGCCUGAGGGCCAGAAUUUUCCCUAAGGAUGCGGAAAACUGAUUGCCAGAGGAAGAGCAGAAGAUCAUCCCAACCUCAUGAGGACAUCAGACCCCAACAUCACCUAGUUAGUCCUGGCCACAUGUUGGCUGAUGAAAGGGAUUAUCUUAUGAAGUAGUGGGUCAGCAGAAAAAAGACUGAGUAAUGUUGGGGUUAUUUAUAAAAGAGCAGGCAGUAUGAAACCAUUGAUUCAAAAGGUAAAACUACCCAGUCAUUUCUAAACAUCUCUAUGCUUCUCCAUGUCUUGAACAAGCCACAUCUAAAUAGCUGCCCAACAAUAAUGAGCUUCUCUGGUGCUUGUCUCUGUGGUGUGUGUGUGUGUGUGUGUUUGUGUGUGUGUGUGUGUGUGUGAGAGAGAGAGAGAGAGAGAGAAAGGUACAGAGAUUCCCAUAUGCCCCAUGCCCCCACAAAUGUACAGCCUCCUCCUUGUCAACAUCUUCCCCCACCGUUUGUAGUAACUGAUGGACUGCAGUGACACAUCAUUGUCACCGAAAGUCUACAGUUUACAUCAGGGUUCACUAUUGGUGUUAUAUACUCUAUGGGUUUUUGUAAAUGUAUAAUGACAUGUACCCAUCAUUACAGUGUUACACAGAGUUGUGUCACUACCCUGAAAAUCCUCGGUACUCUGCCUAUUCAUCUUUCUCUGCCACCAACCCCUAGCAACCACCAAUCUUUUUACUGUCUCCACAGUUUUGCCUUUUUCUGAACAUCAUAUGACCAGAAUCAUACAGUAUGUAGCCUUUUCAGAGUGGCUUCUUUCUCUUAGUAAUAUGUAUUUGAGGUUUCUCUGUCUUUUCAUGACUUAACAGCUCAUUUUUUCUUAGUGCUAGGUAAUAUUCCGUCGUCUGGAUAGAGCACAGUUAAUCCAUUCACCUACUGAAGGACAUUGUGAUUGCUUCCAAUUUUUGACGUUUAUAAAUAAAACUGCUAUGAAC